AUUGAACGCUGGCGGCAGGCCUAACACAUGCAAGUCGAGCGGAUGAAGGGAGCUUGCCCCUGGAUUCAGCGGCGGACGGGUGAGUAAUGCCUAGGAAUCUGCCUGGUAGUGGGGGAUAACGUCCGGAAACGGGCGCUAAUACCGCAUAAGUCCUGAGGGAGAAAGUGGGGGAUCUUCUGACCUCACGCUCUCAGAUGAGCCUAGUUCGGAUUAGCUAGUUGGUGGGGUAAAGGCCUACCAAGGCGACGAUCCGUAACUGGUCUGAGAGGAUGAUCAGUCACACUGGAACUGAGACACGCUCCAGACUCCUGCGGGAGGCAGCAGUGGGGAAUAUUGGACAAUGGUCGAAAGCCUUAUCCAGCCAUGCAGAGUGUGUGAAGAAGGUCUUCGGAUUGUAAAGCACUUUAAGUUGGGAGGAAGGGCAGUAAGUUAAUACGUUGCUGUUUUGACGUUACCAACAGAAUAAGCACCGGCUAACUUCGUG
rnacentral:rRNA from 1 species